rnacentral:rRNA from 1 species
CCUACGGGGGGCAGCAGUGGGGAAUAUUGGACAAUGGGGGGAACCCUGAUCCAGCCAUGCCGCGUGUGUGAAGAAGGCCCUCGGGUUGUAAAGCACUUUCAGUGGGGAAGAACGCCUGGUGGUGAAUACCCAUCAGGAAAGACAUCACUCACAGAAGAAGCCCCGGCUAACUCCGUGCCAGCAGCCGCGGUAAUACGGAGGGUGCGAGCGUUAAUCGGAAUUACUGGGCGUAAAGCGCGCGUAGGUGGCUUGAUAAGCCGGUUGUGAAAGCCCCGGGCUCAACCUGGGAACGGCAUCCGGAACUGUCAAGCUAGAGUGCAGGAGAGGAAGGUAGAAUUCCCGGUGUAGCGGUGAAAUGCGUAGAGAUCGGGAGGAAUACCAGUGGCGAAGGCGGCCUUCUGGACUGACACUGACACUGAGGUGCGAAAGCGUGGGUAGCAAACAGGAUUAGAUACCCUGGUAGUC